GACGAACGCUGGCGGCGUGCUUAACACAUGCAAGUCGAACGGAAAGGCCCUGCUUUUGUGGGGUGCUCGAGUGGCGAACGGGUGAGUAACACGUGAGUAACCUGCCCUUGACUUUGGGAUAACUUCAGGAAACUGGGGCUAAUACCGGAUAGGAGCUCCUGCUGCAUGGUGGGGGUUGGAAAGUUUCGGCGGUUGGGGAUGGACUCGCGGCUUAUCAGCUUGUUGGUGGGGUAGUGGCUUACCAAGGCUUUGACGGGUAGCCGGCCUGAGAGGGUGACCGGCGACAUUGGGACUGAGAUACGGCACAGACUGCUACGGGAGGCAGCAGUGGGGAAUAUUGCACAAUGGGCGGAAGCCUGAUGCAGAAACGCCGCGUGCGGGAUGACGGCCUUCGGGUUGUAAACCGCUUUCGCCUGUGACGAAGCGUGAGUGACGGUAAUGGGUAAAGAAGCACCGGCUAACUACGUG
rnacentral:rRNA from 1 species